rnacentral:misc_RNA from 1 species
GCGGAACAAUUGAGCAGUGAUGAUGUGAGCUUAUAUUUUUACUGUUUUUUUCCAAUAAAUAUUAAAAACAUCAUCCUCUAUAUCCUGUAACUUUAAAUUGACAUGGUGCUCCUAGGACAUGUUGGGUGUUCUUUUAUUAGAGGGAAGAAUAAAGUGCAAGUUAGAGGACACUUUCAUGUCUAUCAGCUAGGAUGUGAUGACCGAAAUGGUUAACUAUGUCAAGGAACAGACCAGUUUAGGAGCUCAUUUUGUAUAUUAAUAGGCAUACUACCCUUUGGCACAAUAAUAUAAGUGGAAGUAAAAUUUUCAUAAGUAAUCUUUCAAGUUUCAAAUGAAGAGCACAAUUGAUUCUCUACUGAGUUCUUAGUUGCAUGACAUGUAAGCAGUACAUUGGAAGGAAGCAAGGAAAUCAAAAGGCGAGAAACAUAUGAAAGAAGUUAUAAAUGCAUAUGCUUGACUUCCUGGCAUAUUUUGACAUCCUGACUAUGCAUUGAUAUGAAUUACAUCUGUAUGUGUUCUAUAACGGCAUUGCCCACUGGCCUCAAAUGAGCUGAUGCCCUUGGAGCAUGAAAGGAUAAUAUGAAUGGCUAAUUGAAAAGACUUUUUCAUGUUAUAGUUUUACCAACUAAAGGGUAAUGAGUGAUACAAAAGAUAUGUACCAUGUCAAGGGUAACGCUGAUUUAUGCCCUUCCUUUGUAUGUUAUGCUUGCUAUAACCAAUUUUGAUGAAGUUGUAGGCUACAAACUCUUAUCAUUCUUUAAUGGCUUUUUAAUUGCAUGAUGUGUGAGUCACACACUGAAAUUUGUAAGAAAUCGAGGAAUACAUAAUAGAGAGAAGACAUAAGCAACUAUACUUUUAUUGGAACGCAUUGGCAUCCUGAUUAUGCAUUGAGGAUGUGCAUUACAUAUUGCUGUGUUCCAUACUUCCAUUUAUGCAGCUGCCUGUUAAACACAAAUGAGCCCAUGAUCAUGGUUAGGGAUACAAAUCUGUUAAAUGUCCGCAGUUGGUAGUAGCUGGUACUCUGCACUUAUUGAGUGGAGUUCUACUUCCAUUUAUGCCCAGGUUUUCUUUGUAGUUACAUGCGAUUUUUCAUUGCAGUGGUCUGGAUUAACACCAUUGCCCUGAUAUUUGGUGUCCCAAACUGGAUGCCCUACCUGAACUUAUCACUGGAAUUCUUGGUGCAGCAUAAUGCUUAACUGACUGUAGUGGCAACUGUAGCUAGUCUAAAACUCUAAAUGACAUUGGAUAAUUUCAAUCUGUAUGAAGUAUAAAUUUUUAUGUUAUAUAUAUUUACGAACACAUGAAGGCGGACACACGCACGCACAUGCUCAAUUCCCCAAUACUGAGACAUAUUCUGUAAAUUUCUAACAGUUGAAGGCACUGCUAGCUGACUCG